rnacentral:rRNA from 1 species
GACCUACGGGAGGCAGCAGUGGGGGAUAUUGCACAAUGGGGGGAACCCUGAUGCAGCGACGCCGCGUGGGUGAAGAAGCGCCUCGGCGCGUAAAGCCCUGUCAGCAGGGAAGAAAAUGACGGUACCUGAAGAAGAAGCCCCGGCUAACUACGUGCCAGCAGCCGCGGUAAUACGUAGGGGGCAAGCGUUAUCCGGAUUUAUUGGGUUUAAAGGGUGCGCAGGCGGAAGAUCAAGUCAGCGGUAAAAUUGAGAGGCUCAACCUCUUCGAGCCGUUGAAACUGGUUUUCUUGAGUGAGCGAGAAGUA